GCUCCGCCGACAAAUUGGGGCCUAUGCACAGAGUAAGAAUAACAAAAGAAUCUCCACAGCUUCCUUAGCAGUUGCAAUCGAUUGAUCGAAGACUGCAAUUGUAGCUGAAGAGAAACUUCCGAAAAGAAAUCCCCAGGAGGGCAAAGUCGUUCUUCCUUUUUUUGGGAUCGGAUCAUUAGCUGAAAUUAACCGCUAAGAAGAAAUCUCCAGAGAUGAAGCUAAGAAAAGAACAAUGGCCAUUGAUGAGCCUUACAACAUGGAGAUUUUGGAAAGUGACGAUGUGCAAUCUGGCAGCUCCCUGCUGGAGGGCAACUCGGAUGCAGAGCUGGCGAGUUUUCUGAUGCUUAAGUUAGCCAGAUUUUGGAGAGAGCUAGAGUGUUUGAGAGCUGAAUCGUGCAUACCUUCUCUGAGGGAGGGGACACUUUUAUAUAGGCAUAAGAAACCAGGAGUUUCCUGUAACGUGCUCGAGAUUCCCGGGAAACCGUGUCCACCAUGUUCACAGGAGAUUUCUCAGCCGGAUAUGUGAUCCAUACAGAGGGAUAAGGUCCAUCCGAUCAACUCCAAUGCGGACGAUGCGGAAAGACGGGUCUAAUGGUUGAGCGUCGUGAUCCCGGAGAAGUCGGAGACGAUAGCUCACUCGAGGAGGAGGUUACCUGGCAGGUCACUAGCUGAACUUAGGUCAAGUCAGCAGACGCGGGUCACCUCUCAUGCUGACCUGACGUCUUGACGGGACCCGGGCAGUCUAUUGGAAGCAGGUCACAUCAUACACCGACCUGAGAUCCCAUCUAGCUAUUCACAGUUCGGUCUACCGGGGAGGCCCCGAGGUCAUUGGUGCAGUUAUAAAGUGUCUGAGGUGAUCUGCUUACGUGGUGCGGAAGUGUCAUCCAGCUGUUCCGAGAUGCCACGUGUCAUGAACUCAUUAUAUCAUUGGAGGACCAAAUUACCCUCAUCAUAAAGCAUCAAGGAAGAUGAAAUCACCAUAUAUCAUUGGAAAUGAAUGUAGGAUCUCUGUGCUGAAUCCCAUGUUCAUUCUAUAGGCAAUAAAAACAAGAAAGCCGUUGAACUUGAAUCUGCUGCUGUGGUUUACUGGAGAGGGGAUGAAUAAAGCCUGUGCUGCAGAGGAUCUAUGGUACAGCAAGGGAGUUUGAAGACCAGUUGAAAGCAUAACUUCAAAGGAGAGGUAAAAUGCUGGGGUCAUAGAUGCCAGGUAAAAAUUAUACUUUAUUUAUCUGAACCUGUUUUUCAUGCUUGUGUAAGUUAUUCCAAAUAUGGUAUUGCAAGCGAACUCAUGGAGGUAAAAUGUGAUCAUUGUGGAUAAUCUUUAUUACUCUUGCUCUUUGUCAUAAUUAUAUCGUGUCAUAUUGUAACAACAUACAUCUCAGAUAGUUCUAUGAUGUCUUCUUUAUUUUCUUCUUUCUCCUGGGGGUUUUAUCAACUCUCAAGAACUGAGAGAGAGAGGUAUGGGAAAACAUAGAAAAUGUAGCUUAAAGAAACAUGGAAAGUACAAACCUCGGUUAUUAGUUAGACUAUAAUCAUCAAACUGGUGGAACUUUUCCAGAUUGUUCCUAGAGAAUAAAUAUGUUUGUAUUUUAUUCUUAUCUUUUAUUCUUCUGGAAAUUUGUCUUUGUAAUGUCAUUCUGUCUUCAAGUAUGCCUGCAUUCUUGAUAGUUGGGCAGUGUGGCUCCUACUUCAGUCCUUUGUACGCUUGUACUGAAUUUACUGAUAUACAUGUAAAGAGGCUUCAUAUAUGGGAUGCCAUUUAGUUUGAAGACUAGGAAAGAAGAAAUUACAUUUUCUAAGGAGCUCAGCUCUUGCAGGAUUAAGCAGGGGGAGGGUUGGUUUUCUGGAAUCAAAAGAUGCCAUAAACAUGUCAUAGAAGAUUUAUGGAAGAGAAUACGUGUACAACAUGGUUGUGAGCUUCUAUACACUCUAUGUGAGGCAAGGGCAGAUUCGGCAGGAUCAGCAGUCAUCUGGAAUUUUACAGAGAAAAUAUGUAUGAUCAAUGAAUAUGGAGGAUGAACUCUAUCAACUCCGGCCUAUGAAUUGCCCUUACCAUAUUCUGGUCUGCAAAUGGAAGGUGCACUUAUAUAGGGAUUUUCCAAUCAGGGUUGUUGAACUGGGAACUGUUUACUGAUAUGAGCUAUCAGGAAUACUCUCUUAAGUGGCAGUUCUCAACUGUACAGGCAAGUUCCUAAUACACACUAAACUAGAUAUAAAAUCAUUGAAUUGGGGUUUUGAAUCCAUUUAAUUGAUUUGCAGCUUGGAUGAGUUGAAUCAACUUGCAGCAGCAAUAUUGGGUUGGGUCAGGUUGACAGGAAUCCAAGUCUAACAUGGAGGGAUGAAACAAAAACUUUUCCUAAGCACAACUCACACAUAAAAGAAAGAGUUGCACCUAAACCUAAAACCAUUUGGAUCUAGGUUGAACCAAGCUGAGUAUUCUCUUAAUAUGUUAAUAAACAUAGAAUAGGUUGGUUUGGAUUGGGUUCCACAAAGCUUCAAAUGAGUCCAUCCUAACAUCAAAUAGACUGAUGUUUUUCAACCCCAAUUCAACCUGAUACAUGAAGCACAAGUCCAACCCAGCCAAAAAUUGUGUUUGGUGGACUAUUUUAGUUUGACAGUUACCCCAAUCACAUGCUUUCUUGCCAUUGUUUACUUCUCUUUGACAUUUUUGUAUAGAGAAAUGUUGUUUGAUUCUACUUCGUCAGCCAGGCUGCUUGUCGACAGUUACCCCAAUCAUAGUUUUCAAGGUGCCAAGGUGAGGCUAGGCGACAAGGGGGCACCUUGUUGCCUAGUCGCCUAGA